AUUUCCUGUAGUUAAUAUUUGUUUAUAACUUCGAAGUCAUUCGGUAAAGAGUCACUCGAAUCCUGUAAUGACCUGGCAACCAUAUGCGGUAUUUAAUGUACGGGGAACAAGCGAGCGUACGGGACGCCCAAAAAGGGUUUUCAUUGCAUUUGGUUAAUCAUUGCAGCCCAUGGGCCUUUAGUAGGCCGAGCUUUGUAGGAACAGUAUCUAUUUCUUUAAACAGUUGGACGUGAAAGGAAAGGCCCCCACCCGGAGUCAAUUCCACAGUUCGCUAGUUUGCAAAAGAAAGUGUUUUGUGAUGUGGACCGGACCGGACUUCACAAUGUUUUGCUAAAAACCUUGCGAGAUGUAAAAAUACAUACGUUUCUAUGGAUAAUUUAAAGAGUUUCUUAAUAAAUGUUUAAUAGAUAAAUCCGAAUUAUUUACAUA